rnacentral:rRNA from 1 species
UUUGAGGGUUUGAUCCUGGCCCAGGAUUAACGCUGGCGGCAUGCCUAAUGCAUGCAAGUAGAACGAGUUGUAGCAAUACAACUAGUUGCGAACGGCUGAGUAAUGGAUAGGAAUUUCCCCAAUGGUGUGGAAUACCUCAUCGAAAGAUGAGCUAAUACCGCAUGACCUCGAAAGAGAAAAGCGCUUAACUGCGCGCCGAUGGAUGAGCCUAUCUCCCAUCAGGCUGUUGGUAGGGUAAUGGCCUACCAAACCUAUGACGGGUAGGGGGCGUGAGAGCGCGUUCCCCCAGAAUGGGACUGAGACCAAAACUGAUCUCCUGCAGAAGCAAUUCUGCAGUAAAAUUUGGCUAAGAAUAAGUGACGGCCCAUACACCUACGGGUGGCAGCAACAGGGAAUCGUACGCAAUGGACGAAAGUCUGACGUCGCAAUGCCGCGUGGAGGAUGAAGGCCUUCGGGUCGUAAACUCCUUUUACAGUAAUAGAGAUGUUAUUGAGAAUAAGCACCUGCUAACUCUGUGCCAGCAGCAGCGGUAAUACAGAGGGUGCAAGCGUUAUCCGGAUUUAUUGGGCGUAAAGCGUUUCGUAGGUUUCUAGAUAAGUUACUCUUCAAAGACCACGGCUCAACCGGGGGAAGGGGAGUAAUACUAUCUGGAUUGAAAUAUGGUGGGGCUUCCGGAACUGAUGGUGUAGUAGUGAAAUACGUUGAUAUCAUCAGGAACUCCGAGGGCGAAGGCAGGAAGCUAACUAUUUUUUGACACUGAUGAACGACAGCUAGGGGAGCGAAAGGGAUUAGAGACCCCUGUAGUCCUAGCCGUAAACUUUGCUCGCUAGGGAUGGGGCCGUAAGGCUUCGUCCCGUAAGCUAACGCGUUAAGCGAGCCGCCUGGGGAGUACGGCCGCAAGGCUAAAACUCAAAGGAAUUGACGGGGACCCGCACAACCAGUGGAGCAUGUGGUUUAAUUCGAGACGAAACGAAAGACCUCACCCAGCCUUGACAUAAUACCGUUUUAAGCACCCAGAAAUGGGAGCCUAUCUUUAGAAAUAUUGAUGGUACUACAGGUGUUGCAUGGCCGUCGUCAGCUCGUGCCGUAGGGUGUUCCCUUCAGUGGGGUAACGAGCGCAACCCUUGUCCUGAGUUGAAUAUUCUCAGGAGACUCUUUGAAUUUAUUUCAGAGGGAAGUGAGGACGACGUCAGGUCAGCAUGGCCCUUAUAGCUGGGGCAACACACAUACUACAAUGGAGCCGACAGAGGGUUGCCAAGUGGCAACACGGAGCUAAUCCCAAAAACGGCUUCUCAGUGGGGAUUGGGGGCUGCAACUCGCCCCCAUGAACUUGGAAUUGGUAGUAAUCGCGGAUCAGCAUGCCGCGGUGAAUACGUUCUCGGGUCUUGUACACACCGCCGUAAUUUAAUUAACGCGCGUGGCAGUUAAGUUUUCCAGUAGGUUAAAAUCCUACCCCUUAGGAUACAUACAUACCGUCAAGUGAGUAAAGUUGUAUAUACCUUAAAUCCCGUUGUACGGGAUCAAGGUAGAGACAGCGAUAAGCACUAAGUCGUAACAAGGUAUCCGUACUGGAAGGUGCGGAUGGAUCACCUCCUU